ACCGAGGAUCCGCGUCCGAUACUGUCGAACUUGAGUGCGGGAGAGGGUAGUGGAAUUCCCAGUGUAGAGGUGAAAUUCGUAGAUAUUGGGAAGAACACCAGUGGCGAAGGCAGCUACCUGGACCGCAACUGACGCUGUGGCGCGAAAGCGUGGGGAGCAAACAGGAUUAGAUACCCUGGUAGUCCACGCCCUAAACGAUGGGCACUAGGUGUGGGAGGUAUCGACCCCUCCCGUGCCGCAGCUAACGCAUUAAGUGCCCCGCCUGGGGAGUACGGUCGCAAGGUUGAAACUCAAAGGAAUUGACGGGGGCCCGCACAAGCGGUGGAGCAUGUGGUUUAAUUCGACGCAACGCGAAGAACCUUACCUGGGCUUGACAUCCCUGGAACCCCUGUGAAAGCAGGGGGUGCCUA
rnacentral:rRNA from 1 species